rnacentral:lncRNA from 10 species
UGGGGAAGAAUGGGUGCAGGGUGAGGACAGAGAGGAGAGUUAGGCCUCAGGAUCAGCCUGCCUUCUUCUCUACUGAGUCAUCUCUCAAGGUUAUCGUAGGGAACAAAGGCUUUGACUUACGCUGGACAUCUCCAAGGGCUGACGCACAUGCUCAGGAAACCAUGUCACCGACCAAGGUGACGCGGAGAAAUCCUGUGAUGCCACCCCCAGGCUCCCAAGCCCUCUGUCCUCUCACCCAGCCGCCGUCUCUCCUUUCCAAACUGUCUCCUAGAGCCUAGGUCCAGAGCAGUGAGGAUAGCUGAUAAAAUCUGAGAGCGAGACACCUUCUUAGCGACUGUGUUUGUUUCCCAUGGUUGCCAAAAGGAAGUAUAGCAAAUUCGCAAAUCGGGUGACUUAAAACAAGAGAAAUGUGUUCUCUUGUGAUUCUGGAGUUCAGAAGUCAGAAAUCAAGGUGUUCACUGGGUUGGUUUCUUUUUUGAGGCUCUGAGGGAGAAUCUGUUCCUUGCUCCCCUCUUGGGUUCUGGUGAUUAGUGGCAAUCCUUGGAAUUCUUCAGCUUUGUAGAUGAGAACGACUCCAAUCUCUGCCUCUGUCUUCACAUGGUGUUCUCUCUGUGUACCUCUGCGUCCAUUUCUCUUUUCUUAUAAGAAUGCUGGUGCCGCACGCUGUGGCUCACGCCUGUAAUUCCAGCACUUUGGGAGGCUGAGGUGGGCAGAUCACUUGAGGUCAAGAGUUGGAUACCAGCCUGGCCAACAUGGCGAAACCUGG